AGCGAACGCUGGCGGCAGGCCUAACACAUGCAAGUCGAACGGCUCUUCGGAGCAGUGGCGGACGGGUGAGUAACGCGUGGGAACGUGCCCUUUGGUUCGGAACAACACAGGGAAACUUGUGCUAAUACCGGAUGUGCCCUUCGGGGGAAAGAUUUUUCGCCAUUGGAGCGGCCCGCGUUGGAUUAGGUAGUUGGUGGGGUAAAGGCCCACCAAGCCGACGAUCCAUAGCUGGUCUGAGAGGAUGAUCAGCCACACUGGGACUGAGACACGGCCCAGACUCCUACGGGAGGCAGCAGUGGGGAAUCUUGCGCAAUGGGCGAAAGCCUGACGCAGCCAUGCCGCGUGAAUGAUGAAGGUCUUAGGAUUGUAAAAUUCUUUCACCGGGGAAGAUAAUGACGGUACCCGGAGAAGAAGCCCCGGCUAACUUCGUGCCAGCAGCCGCCGUAACAC
rnacentral:rRNA from 1 species